CUGAAUAUGCAAUUUAUGGGUUAUUUUCUACAAAAUCUGAUGUAUUCAGUUUUGGAAUAUUACUACUGGAGAUAGUGAGUGGAAAGAAAAACAAAGGAUUCUCCUCACCAAACCAAAGUCUCAAUCUUGUUGGACAUGCAUGGAGGUUGUGGAAGGAAGGAAUCCCAAAUAAAUUCAUUGAUGCAAAUGUGGAAGAAUCUUGUAUUGAACCAGAAGUAUUACGAUGCAUUCAUAUUGGUCUUCUUUGUGUGCAACACAAUCCUAAUGACAGACCAAACAUGGCAUCUGUGGUUGUGAUGUUAAGUAGUGAGGGUGACUUGCCUCAACCUAAAGAGCUUGGUUUCCUCUUAGAAUAUAUCCCAAUCAAUGCAGAAUCAUAUAAUUGCAAUCACACAAUAGAUUCAAUGAAUAGAAUUUCCAUCACUGAAUUAGAGCCCAGAUAAACAAUUGUUUUUUCCAUAUUGUUUAUACUGCUAUAUAGAACAAAUAACACUGAAAAUACAAGAAUAUUAGCAAAUUGCAAUAAAGCAAGCCAGGUUGGGCAUAGUGCUUGUAGCUUUGUACUUCUAUAAAUAUGUUGCUUAUAUGUUGUAUAUACUGAUACUGAGCAUACUCUUAAGACUGGCUAUUUGCAACAAAUAAAGAUGACCUUGAGUCUGAAUGAUGCUCCUAA